GUGCUCAGUUUUUAGCAUAUCCCCUGAAAAUGGAAGGUUACAGAGGUUAGCAUGGCCUCUCCAUGAGGAUGGCAUAUAGUAUUAUAAAACAGUCCAUAUUUUU
rnacentral:snRNA from 1 species